GGGUAGGAAGAAGCCCAGGGGAAAAGUAGCAAGGAAGGGGAUUGUAUAGACUUUGGCUGCUGGUUAUAGGGUCCCUGGACUGGAACCCAGUGUAGAGGGAGGGCCUGGGCCUGGGCCACCAGGCACUGGGAAGUGGUUCAGGACUCUGGAGGUGCCAUCUGGACAGCUGGUCCAGCAAGACUUGGAUGCCCCAGGAGAUGGGGGACUACAGAAUGACCUAGCUGGAAGGCCAAGUCAUGAAGAGAGAGCAUUGUGAAUUACAGGAAGAGGGAACCGCUGCAAUGAUGACAUGACAAUCGAUCAUGACAGUGCCUGGGGACCCAGCUGAGCUUUUGGGCACAAGAUGUUCUUCUGCUCCUCACUCCAAGUAUAUUUUGGGAUGAAGUUUUUUGGCUGUUGGUGGUGAUCCCCCAAACCCUGCUACUACAGGUUAUUCCAUUCUACAAAGAAUACUAGCAGUCUCAGAUAUUCCUCCUGUCUCUAAAUUCAAACACUACCUUUCAGUUGUUUAACCAAUGGCCUCCUUCCUGUACUACUGAACAUUAUAUUACAUCUUUUAUAUUAGGAAGUCUAUUAAUUCAUUGUUAUGGCUCAUUAUUCCUAUUAGCAACCAAGGCAUUUUUAAAGCAGUGUACAUUUAUUACAACCUACAAAUAGGAAUCGUUCCAUACCGAGGUCAUUAUUAGUCCAGAUAGAGUUGAGCUUAACCUGUACCUUCAUGUCACAUAAUAUCCAACACAUUUAUGCAUAGAACUAGGAAAAUACUAGAACAAAUCCUAAGCAUAAUAAUGUA